AUACGUAGGGUGCGAGCGUUGUCCGGAAUUACUGGGCGUAAAGAGCUCGUAGGUGGUUUGUCGCGUCGUCUGUGAAAUUCCGGGGCUUAACUCCGGGCGUGCAGGCGAUACGGGCAUAACUUGAGUACUGUAGGGGAGACUGGAAUUCCUGGUGUAGCGGUGAAAUGCGCAGAUAUCAGGAGGAGCACCGGUGGCGAAGGCGGGUCUCUGGGCAGUAACUGACGCUGAGGAGCGAAAGCAUGGGUAGCGAACAGGAUUAGAUACCCUGGUAGUCCAUGCCGUAAACGGUGGGCGCUAGGUGUAGGGGUCUUCCACGACUUCUGUGCCGUAGCUAACGCAUUAAGCGCCCCGCCUGGGGAGUACGGCCGCAAGGCUAAAACUCAAAGGAAUUGACGGGG
rnacentral:rRNA from 1 species